rnacentral:rRNA from 1 species
CCCUUAGAUGUUCUGGGCCGCACGCGCGCUACACUGAUGCAUUCAACGAGUCUAAAACCUGGUCUGAUAGGGCUGGGUAAUCUUUUGAAAGUGCAUCGUGAUUGGGAUAGAUGAUUGCAAUUCUUCAUCUUCAACGAGGAAUGCCUAGUAAACGCAAGUCAUCAGCUUGCAUUGAUUACGUCCCUGCCCUUUGUACACACCGCCCGUCGCUCCUACCGAUUGAAUGGUCCGGUGAAGCCUCCGGAUUGGCGCGCACCUCGGUGCCGCCGAGAAGUUGGCUAAACCUUACCAUUUAGAGGAAGGUGAAGUCGUAACA